UACGUAGGUGGCAAGCGUUGUCCGGAAUUACUGGGCGUAAAGCGCACGUAGGCGGACUAUUAAGUCAGGGGUGAAAUCCCGGGGCUCAACCCCGGAACUGCCUUUGAUACUGGUAGUCUCGAGUCCGGAAGAGGUGAGUGGAAUUCCGAGUGUAGAGGUGAAAUUCGUAGAUAUUCGGAGGAACACCAGUGGCGAAGGCGGCUCACUGGUCCGGUACUGACGCUGAGGUGCGAAAGCGUGGGGAGCAAACAGG
rnacentral:rRNA from 1 species